AUCUAUUUAGUUUAAAAUUUUUGAAAAUGUAAUUUGAAAAAAUACAGGUUUUUUAGGCG
rnacentral:tRNA from 1 species